GAAAUGCGAUACGCAAUGCGAAUUGCAGAAUUCCGCGAGUCAUCAGAUCUUUGAACGCAAAUGGCGCUAGACGUUAAACUCUAGCAUGUUUGUUUCAGUGUGUUAGGAAUCACAAAUCACAAUGCGAUUGACGGAAACUUAUACUUUCCCUCUCUCGUUAAACACGACGACGCCGAGCUUUUGCGCGGCCGAAAUGAAGUAGUCACUUCUUCGGAAAGUGAUCUCGUUUCGGAUACCGGCGAGCUCACAAAAGGCGUUGGUUAAUAAUAAUAACUUUCUCCACGACACCUGAAAUCAAGCAAGAUCACCCGCUGAACUUAA
rnacentral:misc_RNA from 1 species